rnacentral:rRNA from 1 species
GAUGAACGCUGGCGGCGUGCUUAACACAUGCAAGUCGAACGGAAAGGCCCAAGCUUGCUUGGGUACUCGAGUGGCGAACGGGUGAGUAACACGUGGGUGAUCUGCCCUGCACUUCGGGAUAAGCCUUGGAAACUGGGUCUAAUACCGGAUAGGACCACAUUUUGGAUGGUGUGGUGGAAAGUUUUUCGGUGUGGGAUGAGCUCGCGGCCUAUCAGCUUGUUGGUGGGGUAAUGGCCUACCAAGGCGUCGACGGGUAGCCGGCCUGAGAGGGUGUACGGCCACAUUGGGACUGAGAUAAGGCACAGACACCUACGGGAGGCAGCAGUGGGGAAUCUUGCACAAUGAGCGCCAGCCUGAUGCAGAGAGGCUGCGUGGGGGAUGACGGCCUUCGGGUUGUAAACUCAUUUCGCUAGGGACGAAGCGUUAUGUGACGGUACCUGAAGAAGAAGCACCGGCUAACUACGUG